GGGAUCGGCAGCCGGGCGGGCUGACAGCUGCAUCUCCCCGCGUACAAAAGGCUGGAGAGCUGCCGGGCGCAGCCAAUGGUGCGGAGAGGGCGGGCCUUGCGUCGGAAAGAUGGAGUAAACCCCUCAGCAGCUCGCUUAACACACCUGAGCUCCGGCACAGCUUUUACCGCAAGAGUUUGGGGUCUUUUUUGGGGGGGUUUUCAUCCUUCUCCUCGGUGAGGGGAAGGUGCGGGGGUCGGUGGCUCUGUCCCCCGCGGAAAAGUCGCAGCUGGGCCGGGGUUUGCCAAGAACUUCCCGCGGGGGCUGCGGAGGGGAAAUAGAGGUUGGGACGAGUGAGAGGGGAACGGAAAUAGGGCCGCGAAUAGGGGCAGAGAGGGGGUGGUGUGACACGGGGGUGUGCCCUGAGCCAGGUGCGGUGGCACGAGGGGAACAGCUGGAUGGGGAACGGCACAGCUGGAUCCAGGAGGAGCGGGAUGCAGCCGGGCCAGCAGGAAAGGACCACUCCUAGGGACACCCGAGUGUCACCACGCUGUCACACCCCCUCUCCCGGGCACACGUGGCGGGGAACGCCAUCCCCGAGUGGAUGUCACAGGAAGGUCCCCCCGGGGAGGCCCGGGAGCCUUUGUGGCUGUGGUUAAUGAGAAGAGCGGGGCAUUCCAAGCACGGAGAGCGAGCCGGGACGUGACCGGAAUGGAAGAAGCCCACCGGGAAGGAGCCGCAGCUGCGCCCUUUAAAGCGGCGAUUGAAGCUCGGCCCCGGCCCCGCUGCGCUCCUGGAGGGACGAGCAGGGGCAGGGCAAGAGGGGCACGCUGCAAGGAGCAAAAAUAAAUUAAUGAGCCGGCUAAUGGUGGAUUUGAAGGAGCCACAGGGAUUUCCCGGCGCUUCUUUGUGUGUGUGGGUUCACCUUUCUUUGGCCACGCAGCUGCCGGGGUAAUUACGGGGUAAUUACAGGGGGAAGACACACACUCACUUCUGGCCGUGGUGAUUUCCAGCCCUGAAGCGUUCUGAGCUCAGCCCGAACUGCCCUGGGGGCAGCUGCAGGUCCCUGUUUGUUCCCUGAGCUGCCAGACCCCAUUAUCACUUGGUUUCCAG
rnacentral:lncRNA from 14 species